UGAAAUAAAGAAAGAAUGUGAAAUAUAAAAUAUGAAUUACUAAACAGACAUUAAUUAAGAAGCUCCCCCUACUUUUAGAGUUACACAGCACUUUGGCCAGGAGUCAUUCUUGAUACUCCUGGCCUAUCUC